rnacentral:rRNA from 1 species
UGGGGAAUAUUGCACAAUGGGCGCAAGCCUGAUGCAGCCAUGCCGCGUGUGUGAAGAAGGCCUUCGGGUUGUAAAGUACUUUCAGCGGGGAGGAAGGGAGUAAAGUUAAUACCUUUGCUCAUUGACGUUACCCGCAGAAGAAGCACCGGCUAACUCCGUGCCAGCAGCCGCGGUAAUACGGAGGGUGCAAGCGUUAAUCGGAAUUACUGGGCGUAAAGGGCACGCAGGCGGUUCGUUAAGUCAGAUGUGAAAACCCCGGGCUCAACCUGGGAACUGCAUCUGAUACUGGCAAGCUUGAGUCUCGUAGAGGGGGGUAGAAUUCCAGGUGUAGCGGUGAAAUGCGUAGAGAUCUGGAGGAAUACCGGUGGCGAAGGCGGCCCCCUGGACGAAGACUGACGCUCAGGUGCGAAAGCGUGGGGAGCAAACAGG